rnacentral:rRNA from 1 species
UACGUAGGAGGCGAGCGUUGUCCGGAGUUACUGGGCGUAAAGGGUGCGCAGGCGGCCCGCCGCGUGGGGGGUGAAAUCUCGCCGCUUAACGGCGAGGGGGCUUUCCAGACGGGCGGGCUUGAGAGGCGGAGGGGGGCGCGGAAUUCCGGGUGGAGCGGUGAAAUGCGUAGAGAUCCGGAAGAACACCGACGGCGAAGGCAGCGCCCUGGACGCUAUCUGACGCUCGGGCACGAAAGCGCGGGGAGCAAACAGG